rnacentral:rRNA from 1 species
AGCAGCCGCGGUAAUUCCAGCUCCAAUAGCGUAUAUUAAAGUUGUUGCAGUUAAAAAGCUCGUAGUUGAAUUUCAGGCCUGGCUGGACGGUCCGCCCUUCGGGUGAGUACUGUCUGUGGUCGGGUCCUACCUUCUGGCGAAGCGUCAUGGCCUUAACCGGCCGUGGCGGGGAACCAGGACUUUUACUGUGAAAAAAUUAGAGUGUUCAAAGCAGGUAAUCGCUUGGAUACAUUAGCAUGGAAUAAUGGAAUAGGACAAUGGUUCUAUUUGUUGGUUUCUAGGACCGUUGUAAUGAUUAAUAGGGAUAGUUGGGGGCAUUAGUAUUCAAUUGUCAGAGGUGAAAUUCUUGGAUUUAUUGAAGACUAACUACUGCGAAAGCAUUUGCCAAGGAUGUUUUCAUUAAUCAAGAACGAAAGUUAGGGGAUCGAAGACGAUUAAGAUACCGUCGUAGUCUUAACCAUAAACUAUGCCGACUAGGGAUCGGACGAAGUUAAUUUUAUAAUGACACGUUCGGCACCUU